AUACGUAGGGGGCGAGCGUUGUCCGGAUUUACUGGGUGUAAAGGGCGCGUAGGCGGAUUUGUUAGUCAGGGGUGAAAUCUCACGGCUUAACCGUGAAACUGCCUCUGAUACUGCGAAUCUUGAGUUCGGAAGAGAGUAGCGGAAUUCCAGGUGUAGUAGUGAAAUACGUAGAUAUCUGGAAGAACACCAGUGGCGAAGGCGGCUACUUGGUCCGUAACUGACGCUGAGGCGCGAAAGCGUGGGGAGCAAACAGGAUUAGAUACCCUGGUAGUCCACGCUGUAAACGAUGAAUACUAGGUGUUGGAUGCAUUAGUAUCCAGUGCCGCAGCUAACGCAUUAAGUAUUCCACCUGGGGAGUACGAUCGCAAGGUUGAA
rnacentral:rRNA from 1 species